rnacentral:lncRNA from 1 species
CAGUUCCAACUCACUGAGCACACCUAUUUUUCUAUAAAUUAAAAGUACAGAGCAGCAGGGUUUUACUACAUUAGAUCACUACGGAGACAUCCAUUGAGAGCAAUGAACUGAAAGCCUAGAAACUGAAUUUUAAUGCUGGCAUUGCUGUGUUGUGGUUCACCGGUGAUGUGUCGUCGUCRUGCUGUAGCACAGACCUGAUCGCUACCUCGCCGUGGUGUCAAAGCUGCUUGUAAAGCACCGGGAGGAAGAAAGGCAUCACAGAACUGUCCCUUGAGAGGGCAUGGUAAUUCGUAACAGCAUCUCUUGUAAAGCUCGCUUGCUUCCAAGCCUGUGGUAAAUAAUUCGUGUAGCCUCCUCAAGUUCUACCAUGGCCACGGAGAUCUGCAGCAAUUUGUCUCCUUCCUGAAAAAUAUAAUAUUUGGAUGGAUUUUGUUCUUCUUGCCCCAGGAUCUCAAAGCCSUUUGUGAUGAAACAAUGUGUGGUGUUAUAAACAUCUUCCAGCUUACCAAGACUUGA